UCGCUACUACCGAUUGAACAGUUUAGUGAGAUCUUCGGAUCGGAACUUUAUUGCUUGCAAGAGCAAUGUUGUGCUGAGAAGUUGAUCAAACUUGAUUGUUUAGAGGAAGUAA
rnacentral:rRNA from 1 species